GCACCAAUGAAGCAAUCUGGUGUCCGCCAAAAGCGGGAGAAUCGGGAAUUCGGUGCAAGACCGGAACGUGCCCAACGCUGUAACGGGGAUGGCAAGCGCAAAACGUCACUGGGACCCCCGGGCCACUGGGAAAUCCGGGAAGGCGCGCCUGCCAAAUGAUCCGAAGUCAGAAGACCGGCCAGAUGUCAUAGCCUAGC
rnacentral:ncRNA from 2 species